rnacentral:lncRNA from 1 species
AUCAUCCUCUCCCGCGUGCGACCCGGACGAUAUCCUCCUCCCCAGCAAUCCCGCAGCGCCCUCCAUUCUGGAUCCGCUCCUCUCAGCGCCUCAGCCUCCUCUAGCUGCGUGCGAUCCCGGCCGCUCGUGAUUCUCCCCUAGAUUUCAGCAUCCCGUGACUAUAAGAAGGGAGAGGGGAGCUCGGUUCAAAGGGGGAAAAAAAACGGUUUGAAGAACAGAGGAGAGAUGCUCUGUUCGGGAGAAAAGAAAAGAAAAGAAAAG